UACGGAGGGUGCGAGCGUUGUCCGGAAUCAUUGGGCGUAAAGGGCGCGUAGGUGGCCCGGUCAGUUCGUGGUGAAAGCGCGGGGCUCAACCCUGCGUCGGCCAUGAAUACUGCCGCGGCUGGAGCACUGUAGAGGCAGGCGGAAUUCCGGGUGUAGCGGUGGAAUGCGUAGAGAGUCCGGAAGAACACCGGUGGCGAAGGCGGCCUGC
rnacentral:rRNA from 1 species